rnacentral:pre_miRNA from 1 species
AGUGGAAUUACUGAGUUAUUUGGUAACUCUGUUUAACUUUUUGAGAAACUGCCGAAUGUUUUUUUUCAAAAUGGCAACAUUAUUUUACAUUCCCAUCAGCAAU